rnacentral:misc_RNA from 1 species
UAAGGUUUGCAUCUUAACUUUUCAGUCACUGUUAUGUGCCAUUGUUUCCUGUAAUGGCAGAAAUAUAUGAAUUGCUAACUGCGAGAAGAUAUAUUUAAGACUUGUGGCUAUUUUAUGCAAUAUCUCAUAAGGCUUGGGUGUUUGCUUUUGAUAGGUUGCCACUGAUGUUGGGGUGAUAUUCAGAGUGUAACUUAAUUGAUUUUCAAUUUUUUUAUCAUCCCACUCCCCUUCCCUCCCAUUCUUUAUAAUCCCCUUUUUGCUAUAUAA